GCGGCCAUGAGGCGGCGGCUGCUGGCGGGGCUGGUGGGGCUGGAGGCGGCCGCGCUGGGCGGCGUCCUCCUGCUCUACCGCGCCAUGGACAGCAGCCGAGAUUUCAGAUACACAAUGCAGAAGAGGUUUCCAUCAAUUCUGGAAGGUAGGUUUGUAGUUGUUGGCUUCAAAAAGAUGGCUCAAGCUUCUGUUGCAUCUCACGUAUAACACAGAUUUUCUUUCUGCUUAAAACUACCCCAGGAGAGAUUGCAGAAGUGUUUAUUGUAAUGUAUAAGUGUGGCUGGAGUGUCAGGUGGAUGGAGAGUCCUCAGAAGUGGAAGACUAUACAUCCAACCAAACUAGCCAUAAAGUGGCUCACCUUUACACAGGUCUAGCUUACAGCUAACAAAUAUUUCCUUAUUUUUCAGUUUAUUACAAAUCUAAUGAGUGGUCUGGAAUUCACGGCAUAAAGGAGAAUGACCAAAUGGCAUGGUUAAGCAACAAAAACUGAACCCUUUGUGCCUGAACUGUUUCUUCCUUUUGAUGAUGCUUUUCACAUCUCUGUUGUGGAGCCACCUGUCACGCUCUACUUCCCACUGGAUCUGUUUGACAUCUGUAAGAGGGAAGAUGAGAAGUAAGAAGCUGAUAGAUGAUGUGGAAUUACGUGGAAUAUGGAUAAAUCACAUAGAACUUGACUACUUAAUCUAUAAAUGUUAAUAAAGUGCAAAUUGCUGGAUUUUUGUUUUGA